GGAAACGUGGCCGAGUGGUCGAAGGCGCUCCCCUGCUAAGGGAGUAGGCGGGAAACCGUCUCGAGGGUUCGAAUCCCUUCGUUUCCGCCA
rnacentral:tRNA from 6 species